rnacentral:tRNA from 1 species
GUACCAAGUCCAAGAAAUUUCAAAAACGCAGUUGCUUAAUGCUUAAUUUCUUGUUAUAAUAUUUAUAUAAAUUG